AACGAACGCUGGCGGCAUGCCUAACACAUGCAAGUCGAACGAGACCUUCGGGUCUAGUGGCGCACGGGUGCGUAACGCGUGGGAAUCUGCCCUCAGGUACGGAAUAACUCAGGGAAACUUGAGCUAAUACCGUAUAAUGACUUCGGUCCAAAGAUUUAUCGCCUGGGGAUGAGCCCGCGUCGGAUUAGCUAGUUGGUGAGGUAAAGGCUCACCAAGGCGACGAUCCGUAGCUGGUCUGAGAGGAUGAUCAGCCACACUGGGACUGAGACACGGCCCAGACUCCUACGGGAGGCAGCAGUGGGGAAUAUUGGACAAUGGGCGCAAGCCUGAUCCAGCAAUGCCGCGUGAGUGAUGAAGGCCUUAGGGUUGUAAAGCUCUUUUACCCGGAAGAUAAUGACUGUACCGGGAGAAUAAGCCCCGGCUAACUCCGUGCCAGCAGCCGCGGUAAUACGGAGGGGGCUAGCGUUGUUCGGAAUUACUGGGCGUAAAGCGCACGUA
rnacentral:rRNA from 1 species